UACGUAGGGGGCAAGCGUUGUCCGGAUUUAUUGGGCGUAAAGCGCGCGCAGGCGGUGAAGCAAGUUGUGGGUAAAAGGCAUUGGCUCAACCAAUGUAAGCCUGCAAAACUACUUCACUUGAGUGCAGGAGAGGGGAGUGGAAUUCCCGGUGUAGCGGUGGAAUGCGCAGAUAUCAGGAGGAACACCGGUGGCGAAGGCGGGUCUCUGGGCAGUAACUGACGCUGAGACACGAAGGCCAGGGGAGCAAACGGG
rnacentral:rRNA from 1 species